rnacentral:rRNA from 1 species
UAACCCUUGCCCCUCAUCCCCAUCCAUUCCAUCCCCUUCUUCCCAACCUCAUCUACCACAGCCGCCAUGGGUGGAUGAAAAGGGAAAGAAAUAACACACAGACAAGAAAUUGAAGAUCUGGGAAAAGGAACAAAGCAAGUUGCAGGAGAGAAAAGAAUGUCGGGCAGUGGUGCCUCUUACCAGGGACAUGAAGAUAACUUUGCGGGGGAGUACAUUGGUAAACAGCCUGGACAAUCCCAAUAUCCUGGAGCAUUGUUUGACCCCAGUCUCUUUGGAAUGCAAAACAAUGGAGCGAGUUUUGUGCCGAUGUUUUACCCCAACUCAUUUCCUCCUCAGGUCCUUGAGUUGCCUGUCUCAUGACCAAAAAAUACAAAGCUUAUUGUAACUGUUCCUGCAAAUAUGUACUUGAAUGAAUGAACGACAUAUGUGAGUUGCCGAGACAGGUUAUAUAUACUUGAAUGAAUGAAUGAACGACAUAUGUG